UUUUUCACGGGGUCAUAAUUCUGCAGAAUCACAAUUCAUGCUUAAUCCACAGUGAGAGUAUUGCCAGAAGCAACAAAAAUAAUCAAAAACCAGGCAUACAGAUGAGUGCAGAUUCAAGCCAGCUGGGAAAGAAGCUUCAUAUAGCACCUUUCUGUAAUUUCUCUCUCAGACUAAAACCUAAACAAGGACACUUGAUUAACAAGAGAUGCUAAUUUAGCCAGGCCAGAGUCUGGACACCUUAGUAUGGGCCCAUCACUGUCCGGUGAUCUGAGUGACAGGUUUAUACCCCCCGCUGGACUCCACGUUGGUAUACUGAGAGGGUCAGUGUUCUGUGGUUACCAGAUUUACACCUCACACUGUCCUGAGACCAUCAAUCACACCACAUAAACUUAUUACACUGCAGUUCACACUAUAAGCCUAGGCAAAAUAUUUUUCUUGGCUUUUUUAUUGUUUUCUUUUGUAGUACAUUAGCCAAACAGGAACAAAUAAAUAAGAAAAUGAACAAUACUAGUCCUUAUAAUUUAAAACACCUUCAAUUUGCAUUAGAAAGAAAAUUAAACCACAAUUUUCAAAUGAAAAAUAUUUGUUAUGCCCAUUAAUAUAAAUAUUUCGAGUGUUUCCUCAUAAAAUAUUUUUGCUAAGUGAAUUGCAGAAAAUACA